GCAGCCGGGAACGUCCCAGCCCCCGGUGCCGCGCUGCCCCGGCCUCAGCCGCCGGCGGAGCCACGCGUGACCACUGCCGUCGUCGGCUUCGUCCUCUGCGCCCCUCGCGAUUUGCUGGGACGGAACCCCGAGAAUGCGCGGGGCCCGGGGAGCGGCGCCGGGGGCCUGGGCCGGGGGCGGCGGUCCCGACGGGUCGGCGUUGUCCGGCCGCUCGGAGCCCGUCAGCGGGGCUCGUCCGGCGCGGCCGCCGCGGAGUCCGGGGGCGCCCGGUUCGGCCGCUGAGCCUGCGGACCGUGUCCGCUCAGCUCGCGGUGCAGACCCGGCUUGGCGGCUGGGAGAGCCCCGCGGAGCUCGCCGCGUCUGAACCCCGAACGCGGGGUUCUCACCCUCCAAUCUGGCCUUACCCAAAUCCUGAGGGGCGCUUGCAGCCACAGCCGUUUAAAGAGCCUCAGAAUAUUCGCCUAAUUAUCUGUUUAAUUGAUGAGUUUGUAUAAAUGCGGGGAUUAGUGAAUUUGAUCACAAAGCUGUUGUCUCUAACGACCAUCACGGACGCUGCUGGAGCUUUCAAAGCUCCAGAAGGCAUGCCCUAUAUCUACAGUGUGAGCCGGGGAUUAAGUACUAGCGAGACACUGCAAGCUCAAACCGUGACAGCCAGUGCUGGUGCCAUUUCUCUGUGCAGGGGAUCCUCCUUGGGACCGAGAGUCAAGUUCCAGGGGGAUCAGCCCCUGAUGCAGCCCCCCUCCCGGCCCCACCUGCGGGCUCCCUCUGGCCAGGCCCCAGCUCCCAGAAAUUCGUUCUGGAUUCAAGACACACGUAGCUUGGCUCUGCUCAUCUGCAUUCGAAAGGAGCGAAAACGUUGGGAAAUUCUCCUCCGACCCCACCGCCGCCCCCGGCUGCUGCUCCAGCUGAAGGAAGCACUUACAGAAAAGGAAUCCCCCCGCCCCCGACGUCCACUUGAACAAACAGAAGACCUCCCCACGCACUGA
rnacentral:lncRNA from 1 species